GAAGAGGGUCGGGUGAUCGCCGGUUGUUUCUUUGGAAACAUACGGGAGGAAAGUCCGAGCUCCACAGGGAAAGGUGCUGGCUAACAGCCAGGCGAGGUAACUCGACGGAAAGUGCCACAGAAAUAAACGGCCGUCCAAGUACAGUUUUGUAACCGGCGGUCACGGUGAAAAGGUGCGGUAAGAGCGCACCGCGAUUGCGGUAACGUUAAUCGGCUAGGUAAACCCCACCUGGAGCAAUGCCAAAUAGGGAUUUGCGUGACAAUUGUCACAUCGGUUUCUCGCCGAAGAAUUCGGGUAGGCAGCUUGAGCAUUAUGGUAACGUAAUGUCUAGAUGAAUGAUCACUGUUUCAUUUAUUGAAAUACAGAACUCGGCUUAUAGACCCUCUUCAACA
rnacentral:RNase_P_RNA from 1 species